CCUACGGGUGGCAGCAGUGAGGAAUAUUGGUCAAUGGGCGGGAGCCUGAACCAGCCAAGCCGCGUGAAGGAAGAAGGCGCCAGGCGUCGUACACUUCUUUUGUUGGGGAACAAAGGGCGCCACGCGUGGCGUUGUGAGUGUACCCGAAGAAAAAGCAUCGGCCAACUCCGUGCCAGCAGCCGCGGUAACACGGAGGUUGCGAGCGUUAUCCGUAUUCAUUGGGAUUAGAGGGUGCGUAGGCGGUCCGGAAAGUCAGCGGUACAAGCCCGGAGCUCAACCCCGGCGAGCCGUUGAAACUGGCGGACGAGAGACGGCGAGAAGUACGCGGAAUGCGCGGUGUAGCGGUGAAAUGCAUAGAUAUCGCGCAGAACUCCGAUUGCGAAGGCAGCGUACCGGCGCCGGACUGACGCUGAGGCACGAAAGCGUGGGGAUCGAACAGGAUUAGAUACCCGGGUAGUC
rnacentral:rRNA from 1 species